CAGCCGCCGCGGUAAAACCAGCACCUCAAGUGGUCAGGAUGAUUAUUGGGCCUAAAGCAUCCGUAGCCUGCCUUGUUAGUUUUCGGUUAAAUCCAUACGCUCAACGUAUGGGCUGCCGGGAAUACUGCAAAGCUAGGGAGUGGGAGAGGUAGACGGUACUCGGUAGGAAGGGGUAAAAUCCUUUGAUCUAUUGAUGACCACCUAUGGCGAAGGCGGUCUACCAGAACACGUCCGACGGUGAGGGAUGAAAGCUGGGGGAGCAAACCGGAUUAGAUACCCGGGUAGUCCCAGCUGUAAACUAUGCAAACUCAGUGAUGCAUUGGCUUGUGGCCAAUGCAGUGCUGCAGGGAAGCCGUUAAGUUUGCCGCCUGGGAAGUACGUACGCAAGUAUGAAACUUAAAGGAAUUGGCGGGGGAGCAC
rnacentral:rRNA from 2 species